AUAUAACAUGUCCCUGUGAACAGAAGAUAAACAGGCAAGAAACAAUCUAACAAAAAUGUAGAACCACUGAGGUGAUGUAGACUAUUAGUAAAAGUAUCUCCAAGACAGGAAUUCAGAUCACAGUGUUGCUGAUGUCAUCAUUUUUUAAGAAUGUGUAUGGAUGAGCAUGCGGGGAGAUGAUCAAUGCAAGCUCCUUCAAAGCAUGUCACCUCUGUGUACAAACGCGGUGGCCUAGCUGCUGUUUUCUUCUGCAUCCUCCUCUCUCUCACUUGUCUGAAAGAGAAGGGAAGAAACAGGAUAGUUCAGUCUGAAGCAUAUAUUUCAUCUGGUAGCCCUGAGUCAUGUUAGGUCAACCACAGCAGCUGCAGCCUAAGGAGUAUGCACCAACCAUGUUGUUGCAUUAGAGGUAAGGUCCUUUUACAGCCACACGGCAAUGCCAUGGUUCCAGAUACCUGCUCAGCAUUUCAGUUAAGCACAUUUUUGCUGUGGCACAUAGCUAUUAUAACAAAUUUACUUUAGAAGGAAAUGAAUCAUGCCCCGAAUAUUGACUCUCUGGAGUUGAUGUGCAUUGACUCUAAGGAAGUGUAGGUUGACUGAGUAAUGUAAAUGUCUACAUUUAGUCAGCACUGCUUUUUGAGACAUGACAUUAACUGCUUGGCUGUACCCUGAGUUGUCAAACAGUGACAGCAGUGUAAGACUGCAGAAGGCUGAACAGUAGACAGAGGACUUCGAUGUCAAGGGUGGAGGCUGCUCAGGAAUAUUUGCUUCUAGUGGUUCCCAUUCCUGUUACUUUACAUGCUCAUCUUGACGGAAAAGGAGAGAGCCUUUCAGAUGGAAAGGAGGUCCAAGAAGGAAUCUGCGCAAUGGAGUCAGAAAAUAGGCACCAGUAAUCUGAGUGUGUUUGAAAAGAAAGUGGGUAUAUGUACACCCAGGGACUUCACAGUAGUUCACAGGUAGU